UUGGGAAUUUUGGACAAUUGGGGAAACCCUGAUCCAGCCAUCCCGCGUGUGCGAUGAAGGCCCUCGGGUUGUAAAGCACUUUUGGCAGGAAAGAAACGUCAUGGGUUAAUACCCCGUGACACUGACGGUACCUGCAGCAUAAGCACCGGCUAACUACGUGCCAGCAGCCGCGGUAAUACUUCGGGUGCAAGCGUUACUCGGAAUUACUGGGCGUAAAGCGUGCGCAGGCGGUUCGGAAAGAAAGAUGUGAAAUCCCUGAGCUCAACUUUGAAACCGCAUUUUUAACUGCAGGGCUAGAGGGUGUCAGAGGGAGGUGAAAUUCCACGUGUAGCAGUGAAAUGCGUAGAUAUGCGGAGGAAAACCGAUGGCAAAGGCAGCCGCCUGGGAUAACACGGACGAUAAUGCACGAAAGCGGGGGGAGCAAACAGG
rnacentral:rRNA from 1 species